rnacentral:sRNA from 1 species
AUCUGGGCUUUUGUCCUGACUCUGCAACCACUGGUGCAGGUGGCAGCCUGGUGCAUUGGGGAGUAUGGGGACCUCCUGCUGGCGGGGAACUGCGAGGAGAUUGAGCCCCUUCAGGUGGACGAAGAGGAAGUGCUGGCAUUGCUGGAAAAGGUGCUGCAGUCCCAUAUGUCCCUGCCAGCCACUCGAGGAUAUGCCCUCACAGCCCUCAUGAAGCUCAGCACUCGCCUCUGUGGGGACAACAACCGCAUCCGCCAGGUGGUGUCCAUCUACGGGAGCUGCUUGGACGUGGAGCUGCAGCAGCGGGCUGUGGAGUAUGACACACUCUUCCGGAAAUACGACCACAUGAGGGCUGCCAUCCUGGAAAAAAUGCCUCUUGUGGAGCGAGAUGGCCCUCAGGCUGAUGAGGAAGCAAAGGAAAGCAAAGAAGCAGCCCAGCUUUCAGAAGCAGCCCCAGUGCCCACAGAGCCCCAGGUGAGAAGGCUAGAAACUCUGGGGUAGGAAGAUGGGCUGAGCUUCAUACCCAGCCCUGCCCCUUCUGUCCCUUCUGCCAGGCCUCACAGCUCCUGGAUCUGCUAGAUCUCUUGGAUGGGGCUUCUGGGGAUGUCCAGCAUCCUCCCCCUCUGGACCCCUCCCCAGGAGGUGCCCUGAUACACCUGCUUGACCU